GCUUCUAAAGAAGAAUCUUCUGUUUUUUUUCCUCCCUAUUAAUGAGGCCACUGAAAUGUGCAAUGGGAUUAACAUGUUUCCUAAAUCCUGACUUAUUCUUCCUCUUAAUUUGCUGACGCUCCUGAUCCUGACGGCCUCCUCUGGUGCAAGAGCCGGACCCCCCUCUCUUAUACCCCUGAGGGAUACAGCUGCUGUCAAGAGACCGUUUUGGGGUUCUUUUAUUCUCAGAUUAAAUACCGAGAAACUCAGUGGGUGGUUUUUUAGCAAUCCUGACAUGGAAACUUCCUUCAGAGGAAAAUGUAAUUCUCAAAAAUAAUCUUCAAUUGGAAGAAAUGCCCCUGCCAGAACUACAGCUCCCAUCAGUCUCUGCCAUGCAAAGUUUCUGCCACCAUAAUUCUGUAAAGAGAAAACAUGUCCAGGGAAAGGAGAAGAUAAUGAAGAGCCGAAUUUAAUCUAAAACGUGAUGGCAUUUGGGUAAUUCUUGCAUGUCAGUGCACAAAACGGAUACUGGGGAUAAUUUCUUGAAUCAGAACAGAUUGGAUCAAUAGAAGAUAAAAUGUAUCUAUAUCUGGGCACCUGCAAAACGCUCUCAAAUUUGUGCUGUGUGUUAUCUGAACCGUGUUUGAUGGCGUCUCUGAAAUCUCUUGCAAGAAACCGGGGCUCUGAUCCCAGGUAGAGGGAACAUCUUCUCUUUUCAUUGCCGGAAAGCUGAUGCCUGGAUAAAACCAAAGUAUAAUAGGAAACACCGGAAAGGUUUUUUUCCACCCCUUGUUCUGUCUUGUUAGCAGGGUUUCUAAAAUUUGUUUCCAUCAAGGAGAACUUCAUUCUCAUCCAAUACACCUUUAUUCUGGGCUGAAAACUGACUUUAUUCCCUCUUUAGUAACAGAACAAAAUGUUAGAGGUGCGUUAUUACCGCUUUUCAAGACAGAACUUCAAAUAAAAGGUCAU